AUUGAACGCUGGCGGCAGGCCUAACACAUGCAAGUCGAGCGGAUGAAGGGAGCUUGCUCCUGGAUUCAGCGGCGGACGGGUGAGUAAUGCCUAGGAAUCUGCCUGGUAGUGGGGGAUAACGUCGGGAAACGGGCGCUAAUAUCGCAUACGUCCUGAGGGAGAAAGUGGGGGAUCUUCGGACCUCACGCUAUCAGAUGAGCCUAGGUCGGAUUAGCUAGUUGGUGGGGUAAAGGCCUACCAAGGCGACGAUCCGUAACUGGUCUGAGAGGAUGAUCAGUCACACUGGAACUGAGACACGGUCCAGACUCCUACGGGAGGCAGCAGUGGGGAAUAUUGGGCAAUGGGCGAAAGCCUGAUCCAGCCAUGCCGCGUGUGUGAAGAAGGUCUUCGGAUUGUAAAGCACUUUAAGUUGGGAGGAAGGGCAGUAAGUUAAUACCUUGCUGUUUUGACGUUACCAACAGAAUAAGCACCGGCUAACUUCGUG
rnacentral:rRNA from 1 species